GUAGAGAAGGCUCAGUGGUUAAGAGCACUGUCUGCUCUUCCAGAGGUCCUGAGUUCAAAUCCCAGCAACUACA
rnacentral:tRNA from 1 species